rnacentral:rRNA from 1 species
UACGAAGGUGGCAAGCGUUGUUCGGAAUUAUUGGGCGUAAAGGGCGCGUAGGCGGCCUGGCAAGUGGAAGGUGAAAUCCCUCGGCUUAACCGAGGAACUGCCCUCCAAACUGCUUGGCUUGAGUCCGGGAGAGGUGAGUGGAAUUCCCAGUGUAGCGGUGAAAUGCGUAGAUAUUGGGAGGAACACCAGUGGCGAAGGCGGCUCACUGGACCGGAACUGACGCUGAGGCGCGAAAGCGUGGGGAGCAAACAGG